rnacentral:rRNA from 1 species
CCUACGGGCGGCAGCAGUGGGGAAUAUUGCACAAUGGGCGAAAGCCUGAUGCAGCAACGCCGCGUGAGCGAUGAAGGCCUUCGGGUUGUAAAGCUCUGUCCUCAGGGAAGAUAAUGACGGUACUUGAGGAGGAAGCCCCGGCUAACUACGUGCCAGCAGCCGCGGUAAUACGUAGGGGGCUAGCGUUAUCCGGAUUUACUGGGCGUAAAGGGGGCGUAGGUGGUUUCCUAAGUCAGAGGUGAAAGGCUACGGCUCAACCGGAGUAAGCCGUUGAAACUGGGGAGCUUGAGUGCAGGAGAGGAGAGGGGAAUUCCUAGUGUAGCGGUGAAAGGCGUAGAUAGUAGGAGGAACAACGGGUGCGAAGGCGGCUUGCUGGACUGUAACUGACACUGAGGCACGAAAGCGUGGGGAGCAAACAGGAUUAGAUACCCGAGUAGGC